CAGGCAGAGGGAGAAGCAGGCUCCAUGCAGGGAGCCCGAUGUGGGACUCGAUCCCAGGUCUCCAGGGUCACACCUGAGUCGAAGGCAGAUGCUCAAUCCCUGAGCCACCCAGGUGUCCUGCCUCAAGUUUUCAGGGGCCUCAUCACAGAGAAACCCCUUCUGAGACCCUGAUAGCAUCUGUGACCUCGAGGCCAUGUGUUCUCCGUGGUCCUGCAUGCCCUGUUCUCCCACUCCCCAAAGUAGACAAGCAAUGGACUGGUCCAGCUUUAUUCCUGUCUCCUAGCAACCAUCCUUGGAAGAUGGAAAGUGAAUGUUAAGGCUGCUGACAUGCUGACAACCAGGAGUGCCGUAGCACAAGAAGAGAAUGGAGCAGCCAUUGCCAAGGGGAGACAGAGAGGAGCUGUUCCCAGCUGCAAGCCUGGUCCUGCAAGAGUCUCCACAUUUUUUCCUAGUGCAGGUUGGAUGUAAAUUUCAACCCGAAAGAACUUUAGACCUUCUGAUGGUUAAUUUUACGUGUUAACUUGACUGAGCUAAGGGAUGCUCAGAUAACUGAGCAUUAUUUCUGGGGAUGUCCAUGAGGGUGUCUCUGAAAUGUAUUAGCCUUUGAAUCAAUAGCCUGAGUAAAGAAAGUUGCCCUCACCACUGUGAGUGAGCCUCAUCUAAUCUCUUGAGGGCCAGAAUAGAACAAGAUGGUGGACUAUGGGACUUCUUAAACUCCAGUAUUAUGUGAGCCAAUCCUUGUAGUAAAUCUCCUCUUACAUCUACAUAUAUAUGUCCUAUUGGUUCUGUUCUCUGGAGAACACUAACAAUCCUAUUUUUGGCUCUCACAAAAGCUUGGUAAAAAGGCUAGGAAGCUUCACAAAGCAAGCUUAAACCCUGUUUGUUGUUAGAACAAUGGACAGAAUCUCUUGGGAUUGCUAUUUCUUUCUUUCUUUUAAGAAACUUAAACAUUACAAAACAUAUGCUUUUU